UACGGAGGGUGCAAGCGUUGUUCGGAAUUACUGGGCGUAAAGGGCGCGUAGGUGGUUGUGUAUGUCAGAUGUGAAAUCCUCAAGGCUCAACCUUAGAACUGCAUCUGAAACUGCAUGACUAGAGUACAGCAGAGGGAAACGGAAUUCCUGGUGUAGAGGUGAAAUUCGUAGAUAUCAGGAGGAACACCGGUGGCGAAGGCGGUUUCCUGGGCUGAUACUGACACUGAGGCGCGAAAGCGUGGGGAGCAAACAGGAUUAGAUACCCUGGUAGUCCACGCUGUAAACGGUGAGUACUGGGUGUGGGAGGUGUAAUGCCUUCUGUGCCGAAGCUAACGCGUUAAGUACUCCGCCUGGGGAGUACGGCCGCAAGGUUGAA
rnacentral:rRNA from 1 species